rnacentral:rRNA from 1 species
AGAGUUUGAUCUUGGCUCAGGAUGAACGCUGGCGGCGUGCCUAAUACAUGCAAGUCGAACGAACUUCCGUUAAUUGAUUAUGACGUACUUGUACUGAUUGAGAUUUUAACACGAAGUGAGUGGCGAACGGGUGAGUAACACGUGGGUAACCUGCCCAGAAGUAGGGGAUAACACCUGGAAACAGAUGCUAAUACCGUAUAACAGAGAAAACCGCAUGGUUUUCUUUUAAAAGAUGGCUCUGCUAUCACUUCUGGAUGGACCCGCGGCGUAUUAGCUAGUUGGUGAGGUAAAGGCUCACCAAGGCAGUGAUACGUAGCCGACCUGAGAGGGUAAUCGGCCACAUUGGGACUGAGACACGGCCCAGACUCCUACGGGAGGCAGCAGUAGGGAAUCUUCCACAAUGGACGCAAGUCUGAUGGAGCAACGCCGCGUGAGUGAAGAAGGGUUUCGGCUCGUAAAGCUCUGUUGUUAAAGAAGAACGUGGGUAAGAGUAACUGUUUACCCAGUGACGGUAUUUAACCAGAAAGCCACGGCUAACUACGUGCCAGCAGCCGCGGUAAUACGUAGGUGGCAAGCGUUAUCCGGAUUUAUUGGGCGUAAAGCGAGCGCAGGCGGUCUUUUAAGUCUAAUGUGAAAGCCUUCGGCUCAACCGAAGAAGUGCAUUGGAAACUGGGAGACUUGAGUGCAGAAGAGGACAGUGGAACUCCAUGUGUAGCGGUGAAAUGCGUAGAUAUAUGGAAGAACACCAGUGGCGAAGGCGGCUGUCUGGUCUGCAACUGACGCUGAGGCUCGAAAGCAUGGGUAGCGAACAGGAUUAGAUACCCUGGUAGUCCAUGCCGUAAACGAUGAUUACUAAGUGUUGGAGGGUUUCCGCCCUUCAGUGCUGCAGCUAACGCAUUAAGUAAUCCGCCUGGGGAGUACGACCGCAAGGUUGAAACUCAAAAGAAUUGACGGGGGCCCGCACAAGCGGUGGAGCAUGUGGUUUAAUUCGAAGCUACGCGAAGAACCUUACCAGGUCUUGACAUCUUCUGACAGUCUAAGAGAUUAGAGGUUCCCUUCGGGGACAGAAUGACAGGUGGUGCAUGGUUGUCGUCAGCUCGUGUCGUGAGAUGUUGGGUUAAGUC